UUCCUUCGUCUCCUCCUUCUUCAAUCUCCUCUUAGCUUUGACGUUUCUUCUUCUUGAAACGAUCAUCGAUCAAUCAAGCAUAACUCCAUCUUCUACAAUCAAUCCUUCUAAGAUCUCAUUUAUGGUUUCGUUUGGCCUUUCUCCUUCUAAGUGUAUUUAUACCUUUUUUGUUUACCUCAUAUUCUUAAUCGUCUUUUUUUUUCCUGCUCAAAAUUAUCUCAAACGAUGAAUUCCAGCAGCAAUUCCGGAGAUCUGAUGUCCAAGAAACCAGAUGGCAAUAAUGGUGCUUCCCUUGCCGUACCAAUCAAACAGACCGGCCGUACCGGUGACUCUUCCGCCGAAGCUGUCUCCGGCUUCUUUGGCAACGCCGGUGCUUCCUCUGCCGUAAUCAUCAAGCAGAGCGGCCGAGCCGGUGACUCUUCCGCCAAAACUGUCUCCGGCUUUCCAUUGUUGACCAAAGCAAACGGCAAGGCCGUAGUGUGCUCCGACGUGCCCAUCAGGCGUAUGAUAGAAGACUAAUCAAGAACCAAUUUCGAAGAGGAAAAGAAGGGAGCAUUGGCUAAUUGUAUGUGAACUUCUUAAGGACAUUCUAUACGAAUUCAACAAAUUCAACAGAGAAUCAGGUGGUGACGUUUAUUACACAAUGCCAAUAUUGCAGGUUAGUCCGAUUCCUAAUCUCUUUUGGACGUUUUGUACAGUCAAUCACUAUUCAGUGCCUUGAAGCACUUUUACAUGGCCUUGGACUUAUAAACUGUGAUUUGAAGCCUCAGAACAUAUUGGUCAAAAGCUACAGCAGAUGUGAAUUGGUUGCAGCUGUUUCGAGACAGAUUACAUAUUCUCCUGUCCAGUCGAGGUCAUAUAGAGCACCAGAUGUAAUUUUUGGGACUGUAACUCUUCGAUGGCUUUGUUAUCUCUCAUCAAUAACUAUUUUUCUCAUUUCCUUUCCUCAGUAUAUCAAUGUUUUUGCUUUCAUUUUUGACUGAAGCAUGCAUUUGUGGUGGUCGGGUAAGCCUAUUCUGACUCCUUUGGUGCGUUCAUAAUAAUUUAGUCCUUUCCAUCAUAUUUUAAGAUAUUUUUGAUGUAUCUUUUCAGGUACACAGUUUAUUAGAGUUUUGGAGACGGGUUGGAUGUUUGUGUGUCAUGUUUAUAUGAGUAUAAGCAAGGUAUGCGUGUGAUUCUGGUGAUUUUCCAGUUUGUGUGAGCUUAGCAUAGGAGUGAGCUUUGGAGAGGUGAUGCUCUGCGACGGUGACACAUGGCAGGAGAAGUUGACGAGGGGUUUGUUCAAAUGGCUCCUCCGAGUUGGGUCAGAGCAGUCGCACUAGAGACGUUUGGGGCUAUGUCGGUCAUCCACAUCCUCUUCCCAACUCAUAUCUUUGUCCCUGAUUGCACAAAUCUAUAAUCUUUUUUGACAUUGAAAACUGCGUCCCUUUGUUCAUGGCCAUAAAGUAAGCAUAUAUACUCAUACAUGUACGUGUUAUAUAUUGUUUUUAUAUGUGAAUUAUUUGAUGAAACAUUUUUUAUGCAAACCAAAGAACUGGUGAGUGGACCAAUCAUCAUUACAAACAAAGGUCAAUGUACUUUUUUUGUUUCCUCUAUAUACAUACAAGUUUUAUGUC